rnacentral:rRNA from 1 species
GGUCAAGCUACAAAGGGCGCAUGGUGAAUGCCUUGGCAUCAGGAGCCGAUGAAGGACGUGAUAAGCUGCGAUAAGCUUCGGGUAGGCGCACAUAGCCUGAGAUCCGAAGAUCUCCGAAUGAGGAAACUCACAUGGGAAACCCCAUGUAUCAUUAAGUGAAUACAUAGCUUAAUGAAGGUAACCCAGGGAACUGAAACAUCUAAGUACCUGGAGGAAGAGAAAGAAAAAUCGAUUUUCUUAGUAGCGGCGAGCGAAAGGGAAAGAGCCCAAACCGGAAACUUGUUUCCGGGGUUGUGGACAUAACAUAAAAGUGGAGGCUAUUGUAACUGAAGAGAACUGGAAAGUUCCACCGUAGAAGGUAAUAGUCCUGUAAGUGAAACGAGAAGACCACGAGUUAUGAUCCAGAGUACCACGAGACACGUGAAACCUUGUGGGAAGCAGGGAGGACCACCUCCCAAGGCUAAAUACUACCUGAUGACCGAUAGUGAAGCAGUACCGUGAGGGAAAGGUGAAAAGAACCCCGGGAGGGGAGUGAAAUAGAACCUGAAACCGUGUGCCUACAACCGCUCAGAGCCCCUUAUGAGGGUGAUGAGGUGCUUUUUGUAGAACGAGCCAACGAGUUACGGUAUGUAGCAAGGUUAAGUACUUAAGGUACGGAGCCGAAGGGAAACCGAGUCUGAAUAGGGCGACUAGUUGCAUGCCGUAGACCCGAAACCGGGUGACCUAUCCAUGGCCAGGUUGAAGCGAGGGUAAAACCUCGUGGAGGACCGAACCACGUUGCUGUUGAAAAAGCAUGGGAUGAGCUGUGGAUAGCGGAGAAAUUCCAAUCGAACCCGGAGAUAGCUGGUUCUCUCCGAAAUAGCUUUAGGGCUAGCGUCGAGUAUGAGUAGUGGAGGUAGAGCACUGAAUGGGCUAGGGGGCAUAGCGCUUACCGAACCUUAUCAAACUCCGAAUGCCACAUACUUUGAGCUCGGCAGUCAGACUACGAAUGAUAAGAUCCGUGGUCAAAAGGGAAACAGCCCAGAUCGUCAGCUAAGGUCCCAAAGUGUAAGUUAAGUGGGAAAGGAUGUGAGAUUUCUAAGACAACUAGGAUGUUGGCUUAGAAGCAGCCAUUCAUUAAAAGAGUGCGUAAUAGCUCACUAGUCGAGAGAUCUUGCGCCGAAAAUGUAACGGGGCUAAACUUACCACCGAAGCUACGGGCUUGAACUUAUGUUCAAGCGGUAGGAGAGCGUCGUAACCGGGCUGAAGUCGUACCGUAAGGAGCGGUGGACUGGUUACGAGUGAGAAUGUUGGCAUCAGUAGCGAGAUGUGGGUGAGAAUCCCACAGGCCGAAAACCUAAGGUUUCCUCAGGAAGGUUCGUCCGCUGAGGGUUAGUCGGGACCUAAGCCGAGGCCGAAAGGCGUAGGUGAUGGACAACUGGUUGAUAUUCCAGUACCACUACCAUCGUUAUUAUCGAUGGCGUGACGCAGGAGGAUAGUGUGUGCUAGCUAUUGGAUGCUAGUCUAAGCGUUUAGGCAGUGAGAGUAGGCAAAUCCGCUCUCAUAAUGCUGAGGCGUGAUGGGGAAGGUUCUACGGAACCGAAGUACAUGAUUCCACGCUGCCAAGAAAAGCGUCUAGAGAGAGAAGUAGUGCCCGUACCGCAAACCGACACAGGUAGGUGAGGAGAGAAUCCUAAGGCCGGCGGAAGAAUUACAGUUAAGGAACUCGGCAAAUUGACCCCGUAAGUUCGCGAGAAGGGGUGCCUACGAGAGUAGGCCGCAGAGAAUAGGCCCAAGCAACUGUUUAGCAAAAACACAGGUCUCUGCUAAAGCGUAAGCUGAUGUAUAGGGGCUGACGCCUGCCCGGUGCUGGAAGGUUAAGGGGAACACUUAGCGCAAGCGAAGGUGUGAACUUAAGCCCCAGUAAACGGCGGCCGUAACUAUAACGGUCCUAAGGUAGCGAAAUUCCUUGUCGGGUAAGUUCCGACCCGCACGAAAGGCGUAAC